rnacentral:misc_RNA from 1 species
GAAAUGCGAUAAGUAAUGUGAAUUGCAAAAUUCAGUGAAUCAUCGAAUCUUUGAACGCACCUUGCGCUCCUUGGUAUUCCUUGGAGCAUGCCUGUUUGAGUAUCAUGAAAUCUUCAAAGUAAAUCUUUUGUUAACUCAAUUGGUUUCUACUUUGGUAUUGGAGGUCUUUGCAGCUUCACACCUGCUCCUCUUUGUUCAUUAGCUGGAUCUCAGUGUUAUGCUUGGUUCCACUCGGCGUGAUAAGUUAUCUAUCGCUGAGGUCACUGUAAAAGGUGGCCAAGGUAAAUGCAGAUGAACCGCUUCUAAUAGUCCAUUGACUUGGACAAUACUUUUAUGAUCUGAUCUCAAAUCAGGUAGGACUACCCGCUGAACUUAAGC